rnacentral:SRP_RNA from 1 species
CAAAGAACGACGUGAGCACGACGGCGUACGAGGAGGCCGAGGCGCGCAAGGAGGCGCGCAAGGGGCCAGGAGAGGAGGGCAGCAAGAAGAUGUCGAAAGCACAGAUGGCCGCUGCCCUCUUCGAGAAGCAGAAGCAGGAUCGCGCUCGGGAGCGC